ensembl:lncRNA
AAGUGCUCGAAUUUUCUGCUAUAUUGAAAAGAAGUGUCUAUAUGUGGAGAAAUGCCGCCUAUGCUGUUUGCAGUGUGCAAACAGAAGACAAAGGCAGAACCUUCUUUGUAUAGUUAGGACCUGCACUAAGCGCUUUUGCAACUGUUUGACUAGGGACUUGCUAAGUGUAUGUCUGCAGAUGUAGAAAACCAUUAGUGAGAAAUAUUUGUAUAAAACUACUCAUGACACAGAGAAGGAACUAUGCGAGGUCCCACUGGGCUGUGUGGAGUCCCAGCUUGGUAGUUGUCAAACGAUGUGUGCUUACAGCCCUGAGGUGCCAAUUUAAACGUGGCUUUCUUUCCCCCAGGUUUGAGCAACACCCAGAGUUUGUAGCGUCCUGUGGGUGAAAAACAGACUCUCAAGGGAUGCAACGUCUUGGAGCUACAAAGGAGCGCUUUCCACGUUGUCAAUCUGUGAGUGAGCUGCUCUGGUAUAAGGAGCUCAUCCAUCAGUUACAGCCUCCAUCUAAACUGGGGAUGUGUGGAUGUGGCUUAAGUGGAUCUUGGGAAGAGUACAGAAGUGGCAGUUCCGUUCAAUGAAGGACACUACACUGUUGAUGAAAUAUCAUUACUCCUUUACUCCUUCUCUUCACAUCUUUCCAGUCAUUUUCAUCACGACUUUUGCUGAUUUUGUGCCUGGAUGGGAUUGGUGGCUAUUAUAAGCAGAAGCUGUCGCCUGUAUAGAUACAGAUGUGCGCGAUGCAGGCGCCAAACGUGAGCAUUCAGGAUCCAGGCACUGACGCCAGUUGGGAGCAGGAGCUGCCAAAGCUUCAGAUUUGAGCAGCUGGAAGGAGCUGUCAAAAAGUCACUGCUGUCAACUACCCAUGGAAAAAUGCCCGCUCCCAUCAGAGCAUCCCCACCGCAGCUGGUCAGAGCCAGCUGACACCGAAGAUGUCGUCUUCAAAAAGGAUGGUUUGAGAAGGAAGCUGAGGAGCUCAGACGUCAAGAAAAGCCACCGUGGUGGGAAUUUAGGUAAGAAGGUUAGUAAUGAAAGGAAGAAUUUAAAGAUUCUGAUUCUUGAAGAAAAUGCAAUUCUCAUCAGAUCUGAAGCUAGCCUCGCUGCGAGUUGGUUGAGGCCAAAAAGUUUCACCUCAAGUCAUUACACCUGAAGGCAUCCUUGCUCAGCAAAUUACCUGAAAGCCUGCUCAAUUUUGAGUACGUACCUAAAUCCCAAUGCUUAGGAUUCAUCUUGAUAAUGUGAGGUCAUUAGGUUAAUAUAAG